ACAGUCUAGGCUGUCAGAGCGGGGGGUUUGAGGGUCAGGAAUCGAACGGGCUGAGAUGGGCACCGAAGAGCUGUAUCGGGGGAGCAACACACGCCAGUGUUCUCCUGGAGAAGCUGCAGCCCAUGAUGGCCUGGAGAUCCUAUUUGAAUGUUUUUCUGAGAAGAUGUCCUGGAUUAGGUAAUUGUUGGGUGAAUGACUUCAUAAAUCGGGAACCUGGAGUGAUAUCCUCUCCUGUUUGAUAGGAGUGCUAGGUGCAAGAUAACAUCAGGAACCUCAUCUCAGACCCUCGUGGAAAAGAAAAAACAACACCUAGAGCACAAAGUGCCUCAUAGAUGACAGAACUUAGAAACCAGCUGAAAGGAAUGACUCCCAGUGCUGAGAAGAGAGAACUUCUCUUUCACCUUGAAAUUUCACCUCACCUUGAAAUUCUUGGUCUC